rnacentral:rRNA from 1 species
CCUACGGGUGGCAGCAGUGGGGAAUAUUGCACAAUGGGGGAAACCCUGAUGCAGCGACGCCGCGUGAGUGAAGAAGUAUUUCGGUAUGUAAAGCUCUAUCAGCAGGGAAGAAGCAAGACGUUACCGAACUAAGAAGCCCCGGCUAACUACGUGCCAGCAGCCCCGGUAAUAAGUAGGGGGCAAGCGUUAUCCGGAUUUCCUGGGGGUAAAGGGGGCGGGGACGGGAUGGCAAGUCUGAAGUGAAAGCCCAGGGCUUAACCCUGGGACUGCUUUGGAAACUGUUAGACUGGAGUGCGGGAGAGGUAAGUGGAAUUCCUAGUGUAGCGGUGAAAUGCGUAGAUAUUAGGAGGAACACCAGUGGCGAAGGCGGCUUACUGGACAGUAACUGACGUUGAGGCUCGAAAGCGUGGGGAGCAAACAGGAUUAGAUACCCUUGUAGUC